GACGAACGCUGGCGGCGUGCUUAACACAUGCAAGUCGAACGAAGUGGCGAACGGGUGAGUAACGCGUAAUCAACCUGCCCUUCAGAGGGGGACAACAGUUGGAAACGACUGCUAAUACCGCAUACUGAAGGAGGGGAUUGCGGCGGAUUAGCUAGUGGGAGGGGUAACGGCCCACCAAGGCGAUGAUCAGUAGCCGGUUGUGUAGGAGUAACGGCCACAUUGGGACGGAGAACCGGCCCAGGUUCCUACUGGAGGCAGCAGUGGGGAAACUUCCGCAAUGGACGAAAGUCUGACGGAGCAACGCCGCGUGAGUGAUUACGGCCUUCGGGUUGUAAAGCUCUGUUAAUCGGGACGCGGUACCGGAAUAGAAAGCCACGGCUAACUACGUGCCAGCAGCCGCGGUAAUUC
rnacentral:rRNA from 1 species